rnacentral:rRNA from 1 species
UACGAAGGGGGGCUAGCGUUGCUCGGAAUCACUGGGCGAAAGGGUGCGUAGGCGGGUCUUUUAAGUCAGGGGUGAAAUCCCGGAGCUCAACUCCGGAACUGCCUUUAAAAACUGCAUCGCUUGAAUCCAGGAGAGGUGAGUGGAAUUCCAGUGUAGAGGUGAAAUUCGUAGAUAUUCGGAAGAACACCAGUGGCGAAGGCGGCUCACUGGACUGGUAUUGACGCUGAGGUGCGAAAAGCGUGGGGGAGCAAACAGG